CCUACGGGGGGCAGCAGUGAGGAAUAUUGGUCAAUGGCCGUGAGGCUGAACCAGCCAAGUAGCGUGAAGGAAGAAGGAUCUAUGGUUUGUAAACUUCUUUUAUAGAGGAAUAAAGGUAUCCACGUGUGGAUAUUUGCAUGUACCCUAUGAAUAAGGAUCGGCUAACUCCGUGCCAGCAGCCGCGGUAAUACGGAGGAUGCGAGCGUUAUCCGGAUUUAUUGGGUUUAAAGGGAGCGUAGAUGGGUUUUUAAGUCAGCGGUGAAAGUUUGUGGCUCAACCGUAAAAUUGCCGUUGAUACUGGAAGACUUGAGUGUGUUUGAGGUAGGCGGAAUGCGUGGUGUAGCGGUGAAAUGCUUAGAUAUCACGCAGAACUCCGAUUGCGAAGGCAGCUUACUAAGCCAUAACUGACACUGAAGCACGAAAGCGUGGGGAUCAAACAGGAUUAGAUACCCGUGUAGUC
rnacentral:rRNA from 1 species